rnacentral:rRNA from 1 species
GUCAGAGGUGAAAUUCUUGGAUUUAUGAAAGAUUAACUUCUGCGAAAGCAUCUGCCAAGGAUGUUUUCAUUAAUCAAGAACGAAAGUUAGGGGAUCGAAGACGAUCAGAUACCGUCGUAGUCUUAACCAUAAACGAUGCCGACCAGCGAUUAGGAGACGUUGAAUACAAAACACCACCAUCGGCGCGGUCGUCCCUGGCUCGUCGUCUCAUGACAGCGAGCGAGACAGGCCCACACAGUCUCCCCC